GAUGAAGAACGCAGCGAAAUGCGAUAAGUAAUGUGAAUUGCAGAAUUCAGUGAAUCAUCGAGUCUUUGAACGCACAUUGCGCCCCCUGGUAUUCCGGGGGGCAUGCCUGUCCGAGCGUCAUUGCUGCCCUCAAGCACGGCUUGUGUGUUGGGCCCCCGUCCCCGGUUUCCCCCGGGGACGGACCCGAAAGGCAGCGGCGGCACCGCGUCCGGUCCUCGAGCGUAUGGGGCUUUGUCACCCGCUCUGUAGGCCCGGCCGGCGCCAGCCGACACCCAACUUUAUUUCUAAGGUUGACCUCGGAUCAGGUAGGGAUACCCGCUGAACUUAAGCAUAUCAAUAAGCGGAGGA
rnacentral:misc_RNA from 1 species